UGGGGAAUAUUGGGCAAUGGGGGAAACCCUGACCCAGCAACGCCGCGUGAGUGAUGAAGGCCUUCGGGUCGUAAAGCUCUGUUGAGGGGGAAGAAACACCAGCGUAAUAAACUGGUUUGACGUUACCCCUUGAGGAAGCACCGGCUAACUCUGUGCCAGCAGCCGCGGUAAUACAGAGGGUGCAAGUGUUGUUCGGAAUCAUUGGGCGUAAAGGGCGCGUAGGCGGUCAGAUAAGUUAGAUGUGAAAGCCCUGGGCUUAACUCAGGAAAUGCAUUUGAUACUGUCUGACUAGAGUUCGGUAGAGGAUAGUGGAAUUCCCGGUGUAGAGGUGAAAUUCGUAGAUAUCGGGAGGAACACCAGUGGCGAGAGCGGCUAUCUGGGCCGACACUGACGCUGAGGCGCGAAAGCGUGGGGAGCAAACAG
rnacentral:rRNA from 1 species